GACGAACGCUGGCGGCGCGCUUAACACAUGCAAGUCGAGCGAAGCGGCGGACGGGUGAGUAACACGUGAGUAACCUGCCUUAGACAUUGGGAUAGCCUCGGGUAACCGGGAUUAAUACCCAAUGGUAUAAGAUGGACUCGCGUCCCAUUCGCUAGUUGGUGAGGUAACGGCCCACCAAGGCGACGAUGGGUAGCCGGCCGUGGAGGUUGAACGGCAACAUUGGAACUGAGAAACGUACCGAACUCUACGGGAGGCAGCAGUAGGGAAUAUUGCACAAUGGAGGGAACUCUGAUGCAGCGACGCCGCGUGAACGAAGAAGGCUUUCGAGUCGUAAAGUUCUUUUAUAUGGGAAGCGGUACCAUAAGAAAAAGCCCCGGCUAACUACGUGCCAGCAGCCGCGGUAAUUC
rnacentral:rRNA from 1 species